GGAGUUUGGUCCGUGUCUCAGUACCAAUGUGGGGGACCUUCCUCUCAGAACCCCUACUGAUCGUAGCCUUGGUGGGCCGUUACCCCGCCAACAAGCUAAUCAGACGCAUCCCCAUCCCAUAGCGGUGAACCUUUGGUAUUCUUCUGAUGUCAUCAAAAAUACAACAUAGAGCAUUAA
rnacentral:rRNA from 1 species